UGCGUAGGCGGUGCAGCAAGUCGGGUGUGAAAUCCCUCAGCUCAACUGAGGAAUUGCGCCCGAAACUGCUGUGCUAGAGGAAGAUAGAGGUACGCGGAACUUAGGGUGGAGCGGUGAAAUGCGUUGAUAUCCUAAGGAACACCGGUGGCGAAAGCGGCGUACUGGGUCUUCUCUGACGCUGAGGCAAGACAGGUAGCGAC
rnacentral:rRNA from 1 species